UGGGGAAUUUUGCACAAUGGGGGAAACCCUGAUGCAGCGACGCCGCGUGAUUUAGAAGGCCUUCGGGUUGUAAAAAUCUUUUGUAUGGGAAGAAAAUGACAGUACCAUACGAAUAAGGACCGGCUAAUUACGUGCCAGCAGCCGCGGUAAUACGUAAGGUCCGAGCGUUGUCCGGAAUCAUUGGGCGUAAAGGGUACGUAGGCGGAUAAGCAAGUUAGAAGUGAAAUCCUAUAGCUCAACUAUAGUAAGCUUUUAAAACUGCUCAUCUUGAGGUAUGGAAGGGAAAGUGGAAUUCCUAGUGUAGCGGUGAAAUGCGCAGAUAUUAGGGGGAAUACCGGUGGCGAAGGCGGCUCUCUGGUCUGUAACUGACGCUGAGGCUCGAAAGCGUGGGGAGCGAACAGG
rnacentral:rRNA from 1 species